GACGAAGGAUGCAAGCGUUAUCCGGAUUCAUUGGGUUUAAAGGGAGCGUAGGUGGUCUUAUAAGUCAGUGGUGAAAUCUCGCAGCUUACUGCGAAACUGCCAUUGAUACUGUAGGACUUGAGUAUGGUUGCUGUGGGCGGAAUAUGACAUGUAGUGGUGAAAUACUUAGAGAUGUCAUAGAACACCGAUUGCGAAGGCAGCUCACAAAACCAUAACUGACACUGAGGCUCGAAAGUGCGGGGAUCAAACAGG
rnacentral:rRNA from 1 species